GGGUAGGGUGCUUGGAGAUGGAGGGAGGGAAGGAGAUGGUGCAGGAACUAAGUAGAGAAGGCUGUGCAAAGAAAGGGCAGCUGGCCUGAGAAGAUGGAGAGCCUGUGGGCUGAGCACAGUGAGAACCCCUUGCCUGCCCAGGAGCUGCACAAGGGAUCCUGAAAUAAAUUUCAUCUUCACACUUGUGUUUAGUUCUGCUCCUUGGCUACCUAGAGAGUAGAAAGUAUGGCAGAGCUGUUUGGCUUUGGUGAUGGUCAGCCCUGGGGAGGAAGAGAAUGAAGAACCAGAAGAAGGUGUUGGCCUCCCACGAGGAAAUUUGGACACAGACAGCUACAGAGGGAAGACCACGUGAGGACACAGGGAGAAGGUGGCCGUCUACAAGCCAAGGAGAGAGACUGCAGGAGAAACCAACCCUGCCAACACCCUGAUCUCGAACUUCCAGCCUCGAGAACUGCCCAGCCACAGAACGUUAAGAGGACAUCUGCCUCCCCUACAGCUGGAAACAGAAGGAACUCUAAAGGUCAAUUGCCUUGCGCCC
rnacentral:lncRNA from 10 species